rnacentral:rRNA from 1 species
UACGGAGGGUGCAAGCGUUAAUCGGAAUUACUGGGCGUAAAGGGCGCGUAGGCGGUGUGUCAAGUCAGGCGUGAAAGCCCCGGGCUCAACCUGGGAACCGCGCUUGAGACUGGCACGCUAGAGUUCGGGAGAGGAUGGUGGAAUUCCCAGUGUAGAGGUGAAAUUCGUAGAUAUUGGGAAGAACACCGAUGGCGAAGGCAGCCAUCUGGACCGACACUGACGCUGAGGCGCGAAAGCGUGGGGAGCAAACAGG